rnacentral:rRNA from 1 species
GAUGAACGCUGGCGGCGUGCUUAACACAUGCAAGUCGAACGGAAAGGCCAUAGCUGGCUGUGGUACUCGAGUGGCGAACGGGUGAGUAACACGUGGGUGAUCUGCCCUGUACUUCGGGAUAGGCUUAGGAAACUGGGUCUAAUCCCGUAUAGGAAUCACAUUUGGGGUGGUGGCUGGAAAGCUUUUGCGGUAUGGGGUGGGCGCGCGGCCUAUCAGCUUGUUCGUGGGGUAAGGGCCUACCAAGGCGUAGGCGGGUAUCCGGCAUUAGAGGGUGUACGGCGACCUUGGGACUGAGAUACGGACCAGACUCCUACGGUAGGCAGCAGUCGGGAAUAUUGCACAAUGGGAGCAAGUCUGAUGCAGAGACGCUGGGUGGGGGAUGCCGGCCUUCGGGUUGUAAAAUGCUUCCGUCAGGGACGAAGCGAAAGUGACGGUACCUGGAUAAGAAGCACCGGCUAACUACGUG